rnacentral:lncRNA from 1 species
AUUCGUCCUGCCUAGAGUCAUCUAAACCAUGUUCUGAGGCCUCCAUGACAGGCGGCGUUGGCAGCUGUAUUCUCUCUUCAUUAGCUGCGCUCUGACUUCCCUGUGGUCCUCUGAGUGGCCUCUUUGUUCCAGGCUUGUGCAACUGGAUAACAAAGGGGGGUGCUUACUGCUCACUUUACCUCUGGAAGACGGUGAAUACUGCCUUUCAAGCCUUGGAUUCAUUUCCUCUCCUGGAUCUAACGCUGGGCGAGACAACCACAGCUCCAGACAGCGUCAGGUGGAGCCAGCAGCAAGGCGGCAUGGACCUCAUCCAGUCAGUUGAAGGUCUUAGAAGAAAAAAGACUGAGGUCCCCCGAGGACGAAGAAUUCUGCCAACCUUCUCUGGCUUCAGACUUGAUCUGCAGCAUCAGCUCUUCCCUCGGUCUCCAGCCAGCCAGCCUGCCCUGCAGCUUUUGGACUUAGCAGCCCCACAACCCUGUGAGCCAAUUUCUUAAGAGGAAACCAUCAAUAUCUGUUCCAGAGUUCUGAGGAAACACACCAAAUCAAAGCAAUUUGGAGAUUUCUAUUUGUCAAAUGAUCAUUUUCCAGGAGGAGGCCAGCAGAAGCAGGAUCUGGGUCUCCCUUGGGAAAUCCGGCUCCCGCCACUCCUGGUUGUCCUCACCAACUGCCCUCUUCACUAAUGCAUAUUCCCACAUUACCUGCCUGAACAGUGGUGCAGGAGCCAGAGAGGGGGAAUGAAAGUGAUGGAGGAGGAACAUACGUCCAGUAAGCCUCAAACUGUACCUUGCUAACAGCCUUGGGCAGGAGAGCAUGGAAGCUUAACAUCAAUUCCCCCAAAUUAUCCGAUUUGGAAAUGAGCGUGGUGGUGGUGCUUCUUUCUCCUCAUGGAAAUCACACAUGGCUUCAAGGAGUUUCACCUACACUGAAACUUAGAGACAGAUACGAUCUGUAGACUCCAAAACAUGUGUAAGGGCUGCCAAGAGCAGAAACCUCACAGGAAGAGGUGCAACAGUGUCUAGGGGACAGUGGCAGCAGGGCUUAGAAAGUGCAGGCAAACUACACUUCGUGAAGGUGAGUCACUCACCUGCCCCUUGUUUGCUCUGGCUGGGGAAGGAACUGGAGGUCCUAGGAUGGGCAGCAGAAGCAGUCGUGGACUUGGGUUGAUUCAGAGAAGCUGAGGAGGCAGAGUUUUCAGGAAGCAGUCCAUCUCUGUGGAAACAGAGAGAGAGAUUCUUUGGGAUUAAGAAUUCUGGAAGACUGUUCUUGCCCCCGCCCUGGUUGGAACCUCCUGCAAAAGGCUUUAUCUAGGACAGUUCAACCCAUAUGCUCUAUAAGUAAUGGGAAAAAAAAGUAGAAUAGAUUUGAUACAAACAUACUAUAAAACACAAAGACCAGUAAAUCAUGUCAACAGAACAUGCACCAGAAAAAUGUGGUCUGGAAGAGAUGAAAUUAUGAUCCAACUUUCCACCAUGAAUUAGAAACCAAACCAAACCAAAAAACCA